UCAGUGCCCUGCUUUGUUAUGUUCAACAAAUUGGACGGAGCAUAAAGAUGGAAUGUAAUGAGUCUGAAACCAACUGCUAUUCAAUUACGGAAACAGGCGUUGUCGACAAGGGAUGCGCAACUGAUGAUCUGUGCAACAAAGUUCUGAACUCAAAAAAUUGCUGUAAGACCUACUUGUGCAACAAGUGAGCACACCAAUUGGCUGCAGUGCCUCCAGCUGAAAUGCAUCAUUCUAAAGAAAGUGCAGAUAUCUCCUGAUCAUCUCCAGAUAUUGUGUUCAUCCUUCUAUUGUACAGCACUGCAGCACAUGUUGACGCUUUUUAGCAUUAUAAUAAAAUGAAAGCAUAAUAAUA